GCUGCUGAGUGAGAGCUUCUGGUUUCGCCGAUCGAACGAAAACUUUUGUUCUGAGUUUUUAAGAAUUUUCUUUUCCACUGAGUCAAAUUUUGUAGACAUCUGCCGAUUAUUAUGAAGAGCCACUGGAUUCUGCAGUCUGCUCAUAAUACUUCUGUAUCUGAAGUGCCAUCGUGUCCACAUCCACUACCCCGGGCUCUUCUCUUCAGUUCCACUACAAGACAGAGCCAUCUUUACCCCAGUCUCACAUCUCGGGAGUCUCCUACAAUCUUUACGAGACUCUGGAGAGCUUUGACAUCUCUAAAUGAAAAGGCUCUCUUCGCAGUACUGCAACAGCUGACGAUUUAUGACAAUGAGGCCUCGCUGGAAUCUUAGCUGCUGUCAGGCGGCAUAAUGAUGUUUUGAUAUAAAGAUGAUU